rnacentral:rRNA from 1 species
AGGGCGUAUGGUGGAUGCCUUGGCAGACAGUACCGAUGAAGGACGUUUGAGGAUGCGAUAAUCCUAGGGGAGCCUCCAACAUGGCUUUGAUCCUAGGGUCUCCGAAUGGGGGAACCCGCCGGCCGUCAUGGGCCGGCACCGCCUAUGGGCGGGGGGUACGCAGGGAAGUGAAACAUCUCAGUACCUGCAGGAAGGGAUACUCCGUGAGUAGUGGCGAGCGAAAGCGGAUCAGACCAAACCGGUUGCGCGUGAUACCCGUCGGGGGUUGCGUUGCCGGUGUCGUGGGAUCACGUGUCCCGGUUCCGACGGGCCGGGCGGGAGUCAUAAAACGGCUUGCCAGGGGAACAGGCUUGAAGGCCUGGCCGUAGAGGGUGCCAGCCCCGUACCUGGACGUGAGCCGUCUUCCGAUCGUGUUGUCCCAAGUAGCGCGGGCCUCGUGGAAUCCCGCGUGAAUCAGCCCAGACCGUUGGGUAAGUCUAAGCAUACCUGUCUGACCGAUAGCGUACCAGUACCGUGAGGGAAAGGUGAAAAGCACCCCGGGAGGGGAGUGAAACAGUUCCUGAAACCGUGCGCCCACAAACCGUCGGAGCCUCCUUGUGGGGUGACGGCGUGCCUAUCGAAAAAUGAGUCUGCGAGUCAGUGGCGGGUGGCGAGCAUAAGCCGUGUGGCGUAUGCGUAGCGAAAGCGAGUCUUAAAAGGCGUUUUCAGUCGCUUGUCCUGGACCCGAAGCGGGAUGAUCUAGCCCUGGGCAGGUUGAAGCGCGGGUAAGACCGCGUGGAGGACCGAACCCACCUGGGUUGAAAACCGGGGGGAUGACCUGGGGCUAGGGGUGAAAGGCCAAUCAAAUUCCGUGAUAGCUGGUUCUCUCCGAAAUGCAUUUAGGUGCAGCGUCGGUCGAUUGCGUCGCGGGGGUAGAGCUACCGGAUGCUUGCGGGCCCUUGUUGGGUACCAACAGCAGCCGAACUCCGAAUACCGUUGACGUGUAUUCCGGCAGUGAGUCGGCGGGGGAUAAGCUCCGUCGUCGAGAGGGAGACAGCCCAGACCGUCGUCUAAGGUCCCGAAGCGUGUGCUAAGUGGGAAAGGAUGUGGAGUCGCAUAGACAGCCAGGAGGUUGGCUCAGAAGCAGCCAUCCUUGAAAGAGUGCGUAACAGCUCACUGGUCUAGUGGUUCCGCGCCGACAAUGUAGCGGGGCUCAAGCACACCACCGAAGACGCGGCAGCAAUCUUCAUGGUUGCUGGGUAGGAGAGCGUCCUGCGAGGGGCGAAGCGGCCGGGUAACCGUGCCGUGGACUUCGUGGGAGUGAGAAUGCAGACAUGAGUAGCGAGAGACGGGUGAGGAUCCCGUCCGCUGGAUGACCAAGGGUUCCGGGGCCACGUUCGUCGUCCCCGGGUGAGUCGGGUCCUAAGGCGAGGCCGACAGGCGUAGUCGAAUGGAUGAACGGGUGGAUAUUCCCGUACCGACCAUGGACCGGCAAAACCGAGACGGUGAGUACUAACCUCCGCCUCGUGGUGGUUCCUUCCUUCGGGUUGGUAUCGCCGCGUGGUGUUGGGACUGUAGCCGUAGUAGGUCAGCGCAGGGGUGACACGGAAUGGGAGCCGGCCGCGGAGGUGGUUUUCCGUGGUCAAGCACGCAGCCAGUCAUGUAGGCAAAUCCGCAUGGCGCGCAUGGCGAGGUGUGAUGAUGGGAGCCGUUAUGGCUCGAUAUCCGGUUGUCCAGGCCGUCGAGAAAAGCCUCGGCGUGAGGGCCAUGGCCGCCCGUACCCCAAACCGACACUGGUGGUCAGGUAGAGAAUACCAAGGCGAUCGAGCGAAUCCUGGUCAAGGAACUCGGCAAAUCACUCCCGUGCCUUCGGUAUAAGGGAGACCCACUGGGGUGAAGGACCUUGCGUCCGGAGCUUUGGUGGGUGGCACAGACCAGGGGGUAGCGACUGUUUACCAAAAACACAGGUGCAUGCGAAGGCGAAAGCCGCUGUAUAUGCACUGACGCCUGCCCGGUGCCGGAAGGUUAAGAGGAUCCGUCAAUCCCUUCGGGGACGAAGCGGUGAAUUCAAGCCCCGGUAAACGGCGGUGGUAACUAUAACCAUCCUAAGGUAGCGAAAUUCCUUGUCGGGUAAGUUCCGACCUGCACGAAUGGCGUAACGACUUCCCCACUGUCUCGACCAGGAGCUCGGCGAAAUUGCAGUACGAGUAAAGAUGCUCGUUAAGCGCAGAAGGACGAAAAGACCCCGGGACCUUUACUAUACCUUGGUAUUGGCGUUAGGCGCGGAUUGUGUAGC